CAGGUGUGCAGCACCAUACCCGGCUUAUCUUUUGAUUCUACUGUAAUGUCUCCAGAAAAGAAUGAUGCUACAAGGGAGUCCAAUUCCCACAUUCCAGAAUCUUGGAUUAGGUCCCAGGGAAGGAGAACUGAGACCAGGAAUGGAGGUCAGGAUGGGAAAUCAAGACAGGUAUGAGAAUCACAUGGAUAAUUUGUUCGAAAAUGUCCAGGGCCUUCUGUCUGAGAUAGUCACACUGCUCCAAAUUGAAUUUCAUUAUGUACUGCACUGACAUUUUCAAAAAAAUAAUCACAAUAAGGGCUUUCACAUGAUCUCCUUCUGAAACCAAUUCCCUUCCCCACCAGUUUGUUUAUUGUUUUUUCCCAAACACUGACUCACCUCUUACAUCUUUAGUCAAGGGCAUUGCUUUGCAAUGCUACAGUGGCUGCCCAUUUCAGCUUCUGAGUCUUGGCAGGAGGGUGUGUGAAUUCUUUCAUCUGAAACCCUUUGCCCUCUCACAGCCAUACAUGAACUAAUACUGUGCCUCUCUUCCUUAGCCUACUGAAAACGCCUCUCCCAGAAGCCUUCCCUGAUGAGUUUUUUACUUUUGCCUUGUGUUGUGUAUCACAGAUGCAAUAAGGUUGUGGGAAUGCAACCAGGGGUGUCCAGAGGUCUUGGGUAUUAAGUUCUGGCUCUUCCCACUAGGGGCAGCAUGGCUUUAUGGAAUAGGCAGGGACUCUGGAAUUUCUUUGGCAGGAAUACUUGCAAGUUCUCAAAUUCAUUCUGGCUGUCCUUUGUCACCUUGGAACUGAUGCUUAUUUUUAUGGGCUGUUGUCUUCCACCCCAACUCCUCUAGGCAGCUGUCCCUUGUCUUUACUUCUUUCUUUAAAGGCACCCUCUUUUAAUCCUCUAAAGCCCUACUAACACUACCCCAUGCACCCCAACUUUUACUGUUGUGUCCUCAUCUGUUCGUUGGGGAUAAUUAUAGUCUCUUCCUCACUGGAUUCUUGUAAGAAUGAAAUGAGAUCAGGCAUGUUCACAGGACUCAGCACCUGGCAAGUUAUGGCAAUUGCUUUGGACUGACUUGCUCAAAACCCUUUCUAACCCCAUUUCUGUCUUGCUUCCUGAACUAUAGAAGCUGGAAAACUAAAUACUAGACUUCUCAAACACUCUUGGAGCUACUGUUCUGUAUGUGAUUUAGUUCCACUUGUGUGAGACAUUAGAACUAUGAGUUAUAUGGCGAGAGAGGCAGAAUGUGAAGCAUCCAUUUUACUGGUGCUAAUCAGGCAGAGAUCAUGUGAUUCUGGAGCCAACAGCUAUGAUGGAAGCUUAGAAAUUUUGAAGCUUUCAACUUAUGAUGGGUUAUUUAGGAUGUAAAUCCAUGGUAAGUUGAGGAGCAUCUGUAAUUGAUAAUCUAGACUUAAUUAAAAUUAAAGAUUUAGGUGGCACAUGCCUGUCAUCCCAGCAGCUCAGGAAGCUGCAGCAAGAGGAUUGCAAGUUCAAAGCCAGCCUCAGUAAUUUAUUUAUUUUUUAUUUUUUUUAUUUUUUUAAAGAGGACAUCCUUGUCUUGUUCCAGUUUUUAGAGGGAAUGUUUUCAAUUUUUCUCCAUUUAUUUUUUUUAAUAUUUAUUUUUUAAUAUGGACACAACACAAUGCCUUUAUUUUUAUGUGAUGCUGAGGAUUGAACCUGGGACCCAGCCCACGCUAGGCAAGCACUCUACCACUGAGCCAUGAUCCCCAGCCCAGCCUCAGUAAUUUAGUAAGACAUUGUCAGCAUGACCUUAGGCCUGAGCCUAAACAACUCCAUUUUAAAACUCCAGUUUGAAACCUGCAGUCUCACCAGGUAGGCCUAAUGGAGCCCUCCAGUAGGCCCUCAGGCGUAAACAAGUCACUUCUCCCCACCCUGCUAAACUCAGAGUGAAGUCUCUGAAAGGUGCCAGAUAAGAGAGAAAGGCAAAAAGAUCAGGGUGGAGACCAGACCAGAUGUUUUAACCCCAGGGUAAAUGAGAGACCUGGUGGCAGCUGAUAGGGAUUGAAAGGGAGGUCAAAAGCCCCAAAAUUUGGGCUGGGGAUGUGGCUCAAGCGGUAGCGUGCUUGCCUGGCAUGCGUGCGGCCCGGGUUCGAUCCUCAGCACCACAUACAAACAAAGAUGUUGUGUCUGCCGAAAACUAAAAAAUUCUCUCUCUCUCCCCCUCCCUCUCUCUCUUUAAAAAAAAAAAAAAAUUUGAUAUAAAUAUUGGAGCAAAUGAACAUUCAGCCAGCCGACACUGAUACACGCAAGCCUGAGAGCCUGAUGAGGGCCUGGACUGACAUCCCAACUCUUCUCGUCUGCCUAAACAUCUGCGUUGUUCUCACUGCUCUCAAACUCUUAUAGCUACAUCUUGACCCUGGUGAGAGCCACAACUUCUCCCUCUGACCUCUCCUUGACCAGCUGUCAGCUCCACCCCAGGAGAAGCCUGCCUUGGUUCCUGAUCUGAGUGUGCAUCUGCUGGACUUAAAGACUAAGGCUUCAGCAAUUCACACUGCUAAAAAAAUAAAAAAAAAAAAGACUAAGGCUUGAGGGGCUGGGGAUGUGGCUCAAGCAGUAGCGCGCUCGCCUGGCAUGCGUGUGGCCCGGGUUCGAUCCUCAGCACCACAUACAAAGAUGUUGUGUCCGCCAAAUAAAUAAAUAAUUU
rnacentral:lncRNA from 1 species